CAUGAGUUGUGUUGGACCCGUGUCUGCCGAUAGGACCCCCGCCGUUGUGCGGCCGACUGCCGGCGCCUGUGUCCCAUCAAUCUUGCGGUUGAUACCAUUCCGCUGUCCCGAAAAGUGCUUGCAUGACGUACCCGACCCACGGGAAGUGGUGCUUCAUACACGGUUGCCUCGCGGCGGACACCCUUGGGUUGUCCCGCUGCGGCCAAAUAGUGCUUGCGGCGUUGCCUCGUGGUGCUGGCACCCUUCGUGCCCGGUGUCGCCAUGGCCACCUCGCUUGCACUCUUGGUCUCGGAUGUUGCUCACGAUAAAGGCUUGUGGCCCAUUGGCGCCACGUCCCUAUUGAAAAGCUCUCUCUAUAGACGACAGCAGGCCUGAUUGUUGCCCCUGCCAUGCCACAUGCUGGCUGGCACGUGUGACCCUCGGUGCUGGCUCGUCGAGGAGGACGUGCU
rnacentral:misc_RNA from 1 species